rnacentral:tRNA from 1 species
ACUCAGAUAGUUUAUAAAAAAUAUCAAUUUGUGGGAUUGAGGAUAUACUUAGUAUUUUGGGUA